AGAGUUUGAUCCUGGCUCAGGAUGAACGCUGGCGGCGUGCCUAACACAUGCAAGUCGAGCGAAGCGCUUAACUUUGAUUCUUCGGAUGAAGAGUUCUGCGACUGAGCGGCGGACGGGUGAGUAACACGUAGGCAACCUGCCUCACACAGGGGGAUAACAGUUAGAAAUGACUGCUAAUACCGCAUAAGCGCACAGGGCUGCAUGGCCCGG
rnacentral:rRNA from 1 species